GAUGAACGCUGGCGGCGUGCCUAAUACAUGCAAGUCGAGCGAACAGACGAGGAGCUUGCUCCUCUAACGUUAGCGGCGGACGGGUGAGUAACACGUGGAUAACCUACCUAUAAGACUGGGAUAACUUCGGGAAACCGGAGCUAAUACCGGAUAAUAUAUUUAACCGCAUGGUUCAAUAGUGAAAGACGGUUUUGCUGUCACUUAUAGAUGGAUCCGCGCCGCAUUAGCUAGUUGGUAAGGUAACAGCUUACCAAGGCAACGAUGCGUAGCCGACCUGAGAGGGUGAUCGGCCACACUGGAACUGAGACACGGUCCAGACUCCUACGGGAGGCAGCAGUAGGGAAUCUUCCGCAAUGGGCGAAAGCCUGACGGAGCAACGCCGCGUGAGUGAUGAAGGUCUUCGGAUCGUAAAACUCUGUUAUUAGGGAAGAACAAAUGUGUAAGUAACUAUGCACGUCUUGACGGUACCUAAUCAGAAAGCCACGGCUAACUACGUG
rnacentral:rRNA from 1 species